GAGUUUGAUCCUGGCUCAGAUUGAACGCUGGCGGCAGGCUUAACACAUGCAAGUCGAACGGUAACAUGAGUGCUUGCACUUGAUGACGAGUGGCGGACGGGUGAGUAAUGUAUGGGGAUCUGCCGAAUGGAGGGGGACAACAGUUGGAAACGACUGCUAAUACCGCAUAAAGUUGAGAGACCAAAGCAUGGGACCUUCGGGCCAUGCGCCAUUUGAUGAACCCAUAUGGGAUUAGCUAGUUGGUAGGGUAAUGGCUUACCAAGGCGACGAUCUCUAGCUGGUCUGAGAGGAUGACCAGCCACACUGGAACUGAGACACGGUCCAGACUCCUACGGGAGGCAGCAGUGGGGAAUAUUGCACAAUGGGGGGAACCCUGAUGCAGCCAUGCCGCGUGUAUGAAGAAGGCCUUCGGGUUGUAAAGUACUUUCGGUGAUGAGGAAGGUGACGUAUCUAAUAGGUGCGUUAAUUGACGUUAAUUACAGAAGAAGCACCGGCUAACUCCGUGCCAGCAGCCGCGGUAAUACGGAGGGUGCAAGCGUUAAUCGGAAUGACUGGGCGUAAAGGGCAUGUAGGCGGAUAAUUAAGUUAGGUGUGAAAGCCCUGGGCUCAACCUAGGAAUUGCACUUAAAACUGGUUAACUAGAGUAUUGUAGAGGAAGGUAGAAUUCCACGUGUAGCGGUGAAAUGCGUAGAGAUGUGGAGGAAUACCGGUGGCGAAGGCGGCCUUCUGGACAGAUACUGACGCUGAGAUGCGAAAGCGUGGGGAGCAAACAGGAUUAGAUACCCUGGUAGUCCACGCUGUAAACGAUGUCGAUUUGGAGUUUGUUGCCUAGAGUGAUGGGCUCCGAAGCUAACGCGAUAAAUCGACCGCCUGGGGAGUACGGCCGCAAGGUUAAAACUCAAAUGAAUUGACGGGGGCCCGCACAAGCGGUGGAGCAUGUGGUUUAAUUCGAUGCAACGCGAAGAACCUUACCUGGUCUUGACAUCCACAGAAUCUUGCAGAGAUGAGGGAGUGCCUUCGGGAACUGUGAGACAGGUGCUGCAUGGCUGUCGUCAGCUCGUGUUGUGAAAUGUUGGGUUAAGUCCCGCAACGAGCGCAACCCUUAUCCUUUGUUGCCAGCGAUUAGGUCGGGAACUCAAAGGAGACUGCCGUUGAUAAAACGGAGGAAGGUGGGGACGACGUCAAGUCAUCAUGGCCCUUACGACCAGGGCUACACACGUGCUACAAUGGCGUAUACAAAGGGAGGCGA
rnacentral:rRNA from 1 species